UAUUGAACGCUGGCGGCAGGCCUAACACAUGCAAGUCGAACGGUAACAGGAAACAGCUUGCUGUUUCGCUGACGAGUGGCGGACGGGUGAGUAAUGUCUGGGAAACUGCCUGAUGGAGGGGGAUAACUACUGGAAACGGUAGCUAAUACCGCAUAACGUCGCAAGACCAAAGAGGGGGACCUUCGGGCCUCUUGCCAUCGGAUGUGCCCAGAUGGGAUUAGCUAGUAGGUGGGGUAACGGCUCACCUAGGCGACGAUCCCUAGCUGGUCUGAGAGGAUGACCAGCCACACUGGAACUGAGACACGGUCCAGACUCCUACGGGAGGCAGCAGUGGGGAAUAUUGCACAAUGGGCGCAAGCCUGAUGCAGCCAUGCCGCGUGUAUGAAGAAGGCCUUCGGGUUGUAAAGUACUUUCAGCGGGGAGGAAGGGAGUAAAGUUAAUACCUUUGCUCAUUGACGUUACCCGCAGAAGAAGCACCGGCUAACUCCGUGCCAGCAGCCGCGGUAAUACGGAGGGUGCAAGCGUUAAUCGGAAUUACUGGGCGUAAAGCGCACGCAGGCGGUUUGUUAAGUCAGAUGUGAAAUCCCCGGGCUCAACCUGGGAACUGCAUCUGAUACUGGCAAGCUUGAGUCUCGUAGAGGGGGGUAGAAUUCCAGGUGUAGCGGUGAAAUGCGUAGAGAUCUGGAGGAAUACCGGUGGCGAAGGCGGCCCCCUGGACGAAGACUGACGCUCAGGUGGGAAAGCGUGGGGGAGCAAACAGGAUUAGAUACCCUGGUAGUUCACGCUGUAAACGAUGUCGACUUGGAGGUUGUGCCCUUGAGGCGUGGCUUCCGGAGCUAACGCGUUAAGUCGACCGCCUGGGGAGUACGGCCGCAAGGUUAAAACUCAAAUGAAUUGACGGGGGCCCGCACAAGCGGUGGAGCAUGUGGUUUAAUUCGAUGCAACGCGAAGAACCUUACCUGGUCUUGACAUCCACGGAAGUUUUCAGAGAUGAGAAUGUGCCUUCGGGAACCGUGAGACAGGUGCUGCAUGGCUGUCGUCAGCUCGUGUUGUGAAAUGUUGGGUUAAGUCCCGCAACGAGCGCAACCCUUAUCCUUUGUUGCCAGCGGUCCGGCCGGGAACUCAAAGGAGACUGCCAGUGAUAAACUGGAGGAAGGUGGGGAUGACGUCAAGUCAUCAUGGCCCUUACGACCAGGGCUACACACGUGCUACAAUGGCGCAUACAAAGAGAAGCGACCUCGCGAGAGCAAGCGGACCUCAUAAAGUGCGUCGUAGUCCGGAUUGGAGUCUGCAACUCGACUCCAUGAAGUCGGAAUCGCUAGUAAUCGUGGAUCAGAAUGCCACGGUGAAUACGUUCCCGGGCCUUGUACACACCGCCCGUCACACCAUGGGAGUGGGUUGCAAAAGAAGUAGGUAGCUUAACCUUCGGGAGGGCGCUUACCACUUUGUGAUUCA
rnacentral:rRNA from 1 species